rnacentral:rRNA from 1 species
GUGAACGCUGGCGGUAGGCCUAACACAUGCAAGUCGAACGGCAGCACAGGAGAGCUUGCUCUCUGGGUGGCGAGUGGCGGACGGGUGAGGAAUACAUCGGAAUCUACCUUUUCGUGGGGGAUAACGUAGGGAAACUUACGCUAAUACCGCAUACGUCCUAAGGGAGAAAGUGGGGGAUCGCAAGACCUCACGCGGAUAGAUGAGCCGAUGUCGGAUUAGCUAGUUGGCGGGGUAAAGGCCCACCAAGGCGACGAUCCGUAGCUG